UUUGCUGUCAAAAAUUGGAUUUGCUCCUCUUAGCUUAAUCUUUAUCCAUUCGUCCUGAAAUAUACUGGCCAAGUAUGCUAUUGAUUUUUACAAAAGAACCCCAUUUGGAUUUAUGAGUGUUUUUACUCUCUAGAAGAUAAUUUACAUAAUUCACAUACGUGGUUUUGCAUUAUCUUGAUACGCGGUUUUGCAUUUGGUUGAUACGCGGCACUGUGGGCUAAAUUACAUAUUUUCAUCUAUUUUUUAUGUAUGUAUAAUUUAAAUAUGAUUUGAAGUCCAGAUAAUACAUAUUAAAGUGAAAUACUUAAAAUAAUGCAAAGUACACUUCUCCUUGACUCCCACUGUAUGUACUUAUUGUGACUUUUUUUUUUAAUUUUAUAUCUCUUCAACUCGCGUAAAUACAAACACCUACAUACAUAUACAUAUACCCUGCAGGAAAACCGCGAACUAGUGAAUCAAAUUUCUAGUUCCGUACUAGAAGAUCUUUAUCGCCAAACACGAACCAUUCCGAUAAUAACCAGAUCCUCACCAGUUCAAAAUCAACGAAAUGUGGUUACGAAUUUAGUACUGAUUCGGAACUAUAGAAAAAAAGGGGCGCAGAACGAACAAGAUAUUAUAUGUCGAACUUAGAACUGAUUCAGAACUAACGAAACAGGGAUGCAUCGGGGGACUUGUUUACUUUAAAUAGAUAUGUAUUUGGUGGCUUUAUCGUUCAAAUACGCUUCCAUUCUGACCAAUCUAACCAAUAACCAAUAACAGAAAGCCCCUCUGCAAUCUCAGCUACAGCCAAAGAACUGGUUCGGAACUAUCGAAAGGGAUGCAGCGGGGGACAAUUGACACUUCCGAGGACAUCGCCAUGUUAAAUUCGCCGGUUGUUUGCAUGAAAAAGAGGUUUAUCGCCAGUACUGGGUAUAAAUGUACUAGAUGCGCCCAAGUUCAGAACUAGAGAUUUUCCCCACAGGGUAUGUACGCGAUAGUGCGGCGCUCACCAAUGGCAUGAUCUGCGGCAUGUAUGCUUAAUAAGCAAGGUACAAAAGAAGAUACGUGAUGCAGUGAUUUCGAAACAUUUUAUCAUAUUAAAGGUUGUACCAAUGCAAACAUUUGUAAAUAAGUAGCAGAAUGUUCGGUAUUUUUGAAUGACUAGUUCAAUUUUUGAUGAACAUUUUUUUAAUUAAAGAAGCAUUCAAUUAAUUUAAAAUGUUAAGAAAAUUUAAUGCAUAUAAAGCAAUCCUUUCCGAAUAUGUGCUCGCAAGUAAAAGCAUGCGAAUACCGCAGGGUAUCCCGAUAAGCUGUAAAAGGCUCGAAAUCUUCGAACAUCUGAAAACUUUGAUGAAGAUCUCAGAAUUUGUACGAAAUAUUGUUUUAGUUUCGAGUUUUUCAAGUCUUAUUUUUAUUUCAACACAAUGUUAACCUUCUAAACCCAUUUAAGUUGUUUUAUCAAAAUGUCACAGUUUCGACCGGAACUGGGUCAAACGGACCGGAAGUCCGUUCUUUUAACCGGAAUUCCAAUCCAGAAAAGGGUUUCCGAGUACGUAUUUUUGUCCGCAGAAUCCAAAUCUUUUAUAAAAACAUGUAUGUCUCGUUUAAAAAGAUUGACUUCCGACUCGAUAAUUCAUAUUUUUGCGUUUUCCAAUAAAAAAAAAACAUCCAGGAAGUGUUCUUCUCAUUUAGAGGGUGAAAAAGGCACAUCCGGGAAAAAAUUUUUGAACAAAAGUUACUUAUUUUCGCCCCCAAAUUCCGAACAUGUAAUAAAAAUAUAUAUAUCCUAUAUAAAAGGAUAGACUUCCGGUCUUUUUAACCCACUUCCGGUGGAAGUCCCAGUUACCAGCCCUUGGUAAUUGAUAUUUUUGCGUUUUCCAAUAAAAAAAAACCCUGUAUACCCGUAAAAAGAAACACCACUUAGCAGCUUGUUACUUCUUCUACGUUUCUCAUUUAUAAAAUGUAUAAUAUUUGCGUUACACUGUUUUAAAAAUUAAAUUAUAUUUUUCAUUAAAUUUUUAGAAAGCUAUUGCUUGAAGAAAAGUCUUUCGUAUGGAAACGGUCAAUUAUGGUAAUUAUCUUGAAGCCUCUUUUGUGUCUUUAGAAAGACUAAUAAAUAGAAGGUGUUAGCAUUAUUCUGUUUGCCAUUUAGCAAUAAAUUAUCUGAAAAUUAAACGAAAUUUAAAAAAAAUAUUU